rnacentral:rRNA from 1 species
GACGAACGCUGGCGGCGUGCUUAACACAUGCAAGUCGAACGGAAAGGCCCUGCUUUUGUGGGGUGCUCGAGUGGCGAACGGGUGAGUAACACGUGAGUAACCUGCCCUUGACUUUGGGAUAACUUCAGGAAACUGGGGCUAAUACCGGCUAGGAGCUCCUGCUGCAUGGUGGGGGUUGGAAAGUUUCGGCGGUUGGGGAUGGACUCGCGGCUUAUCAGCUUGUUGGUGGGGUAGUGGCUUACCAAGGCUUUGACGGGUAGCCGGCCUGGGAGGGUGACAGGCCACAUUGGGACUGAGAUACGGCCCAGACUCCUACGGGAGGCAGCAGUGGGGAAGAGUGCACUAUGGGCGGAAGCCUGAUGCAGCAACGCCGCGUGCGGGAUGACGGCCUUCGGGUUGUAAUCCGCUUUCGCCUGUGACGAGGCGUGAGUGACGGUAAUGGGUAAAGAAGCACCGGCUAACUACGUG